UGAAUCUUUUCUGCAGCCUUUGAGCAGCAACUUGGUGGGAGGAACCCCUAUAGAGUUCCAAGGAGGCCGAUCCCCUAAAGAGAUCAACCCCAAGUUUAGAAUCUGCAAGGGUUCUAACACCUGGUAUCAGAGCAGCGUUCUUGGCAUCUCGCUGCCCUUCCACUGCCAUCCAUCAACCCUCCACAACCGCCCAAAGCAAUUCCCACAAUUGCUUAAAAGAUCGUCGCCAAAUUCCACCGUCAUCUCCACCACCGCAGAUUAUCCUUUGAUCUUCCUGUGAAUUGCAACAGGUUUUGGUUUCCUACCUUACUGCUGCUGCAAUUUAGUUAUCCCUAUUCGAAAAUCCAAAAAAAAAAAAAAAAA
rnacentral:lncRNA from 1 species